rnacentral:ncRNA from 1 species
CCUGCCGUUCCUCCGGCAGUAGCCUAGGGAUGCAGGCAUGACGGGAGACUGCUGUGUCUGAAGCCAUCCUGACAAUGUACUCCGACCCCGAAAGGGUGAAGCGGAACCCGCGAGGGCGACGCGAAGCUGUAAGCAUUAUGCGGCAGGAGGC